AACGAACGCUGGCGGCGUGUUUAAGACAUGCAAGUCGCACGGGAUUAUUUUAGUAGUAAUACUUGAAUGGUUCAGUGGCGCACGGGUGAGGAACACGUGAAUGACAUGCCCUAUAGAGGGGGAUAGCCCAGGGAAACUUGGAUUAAUACCCCAUAGUCUCGUGGGAGUAAAGGUGGCUAGCAAUAGCUGUCGCUAUAGGAUUGGUUCGCGUUCUAUCAGCUUGUUGGUAGGGUAACGGCUUACCAAGGCAAUGACGGAUACCUGGUCUGAGAGGACGAUCAGGCACACUGGAACUGAGACACGGUCCAGACACCUACGGGUGGCAGCAGUCGAGAAUAAUUCACAAUGGGGGCAACCCUGAUGGUGCAACGCCGCGUGGAGGAUGAAGGUCUUCGGAUUGUAAACUCCUGUCAUCUGGGAGAAAGACCUGGGAGUUAAUAGCUCACAGGGUUGAUAGUACCAGAAGAGGAAGGGACGGCUAACUUCGUGCCAGCAGCCGCCGUAA
rnacentral:rRNA from 1 species